rnacentral:lncRNA from 1 species
AAGUGAAUGAUCUGAUAUCGAGUGAGACAGUGUGCUGCGAGUGUCUAGCAAAGGCCAGUGAAGUCGUCCAGUCAGUCAACUGAAAGCGCGCAGCAAGUCGAAGCGGAAAUUUCGAACGCACGCAGCUGAUUCCGAUCGUCAGCUGUUUUCGGUUUGUUGUGUUGAGUUUAUUGUAAUGUUUUGAGUGCUAAUACAGUUGCUAUUUGGGUAGCUCAACUAGACUAUUUUUUAUUUGAUAUUUUUGGAUAACUCGGCAGUAUGUUGGUGUUUGAGCAGGUAAGUUCUUCACUCAUUGUUUUUAAUAUCAAGUAAGUGUAAUUAAAUAUUUAUCACAGGUUAGCAAAAGACAGUAGCAAUUUUGCAGUUAAAAUUAGCAGAUCAGAUCAAUUUUCUGGUCUAGUAGACUUCAUUUUUUUUAUCUAUAUGCGAAUUUUUGUAACCUUGAAUGUCUAUCUUUACUGUGCUAACAAUGGUCAAGACAAAAUAACAUGAAGGUUCUACAACAAAUAUAGAGGAAACUAGCGAAUAUACCGUCUGAACUGUAUGACAAUUAUUCUCCACCGGAAGAAAUAUCUGAAACAUGUUUUAAAUAAGUUAAACACGUAAUACACACUAUGUAUAUCUGAAACGGAUAACAGACUUUCUUAGAAGCCUAGAUCUUUUGAUCUUCGAAAGAAUAUCAGGUAUAUCGUGGAAGAAAAAACAAAAAUGGAAUGGUUUGAAUAUAGAUGUAGAUGUAGGUAAUCCUAAAAUGGAGAUCAAUGGAUCAUGUCAAGAAGCAUGGAAAGACUAAAAGGGAUGGGUAGAUGAUAUAA